GUCUACGGCCAUGCCGCCCUGAACAAGCCCAAUCCCGUCUGAUCUCGGAAGCUAAGCAGGGUUGGGCCUGGUUAGUAUUUGGAUGGGAGACCACCUAGGAAGACCAGGUGCUGUAGGCG
rnacentral:rRNA from 1 species